CUCGUAGGCGGUUUGUCGCGUCGGGAGUGAAAUCCAUCAGCUUAACUGGUGGUCUGCUUCCGGUACGGGCAGACUGGAGGCAUGCAGGGGAGAACGGAAUUCCUGGUGUAGCGGUGAAAUGCGCAGAUAUCAGGAGGAACACCGGUGGCGAAGGCGGUUCUCUGGGCAUGUCCUGACGCUGAGGAGCGAAAGUGUGGGAGCGAACA
rnacentral:rRNA from 1 species